UUUAAAUUCCAAGUCUGAAACUUCCAUUCUAAUUCCAUAAACUUACGCACUUUCGUUCCCCAUGUAGGGUGACUUGGUGAUUUCAACCUCAAACAUACAACUCGUCACGAGAUUAUCAAGUUUGAAGCCUGCAAAAACGCAACACAAGUGAAGCAUCGAGAAGUCAAACCGGAGCAAACACACAGUUGAAGGAAAAGCUAUAAGGUGAUGGACUUCACUUAAACAUUCAAACGGCUCAAACUAAAGAAACGAUAAAGGUUUGGUUGUAUAAAAGCGAUUGAUUUUGCUAAGGGAAAGCCAAACAGGUCAAUUAAGGGUAGGUGCAAACUGGGUAACAUGAGCACUUAUUCCGUAAAUAUUAAGCCUGGGUGACGGGUAAUGAUUCGAUUAACACGCAAGCUGGUAAUGGAAUGUCGAAUGUAACGAACCCAGGAAACGGUAGAAUGGAUGUGUGUAAUCCCAAGUAAUAUUUAUGUAAGUGGUCUAAGUCUAUGCACUUAGAUCACUAAAGAGUCAAAUGUUUAUGUAACGCCCCGUUUUUCGUAACUUUCCGUUUUUAGAAAGUUCAUCUUGUAUUUCUAUUUUUGGAAACUCGUUCCCUUUGUAAUCAUAUCUCGUUCAAAUCAUUGUAA